rnacentral:rRNA from 1 species
UACGUAGGGUGCGAGCGUUAAUCGGAAUUACUGGGCGUAAAGCGUGCGUAGGCGGUCCCGCAAGUCCGCUGUGAAAGCCCCGAGCUUAACUUGGGAACUGCAGUGGAAACUAUGGGACUUGAAUCCGGCAGAGGGGGGUGGAAUGCCACGUGUAGCAGUGAAAUGCGUAGAGAUGUGGCGGAACACCGAUGGCGAAGGCAGACCCCUGGGCUGAGAUUGACGCUCAGGCACGAAAGCGUGGGGAGCAAACAGG